GUCUACGGCCAUAUCACGUUGAAAACACCGGUUCUCGUCCGAUCACCGACGUUAAGCAACGUCGAACCCGGUUAGUACAUGGAUGGGUGACGGCCUGGGAAAACCGGGUGCUGUAGGCU
rnacentral:rRNA from 1 species